rnacentral:rRNA from 1 species
UCGUGUCGUGAGAUGUUCGGUUAAGUCCGGCAACGAGCGCAACCCACAUCCUUAGUUGCCAGCAGUUCGGCUGGGCACUCUAGGGAAACUGCCCGUGAUAAGCGGGAGGAAGGUGUGGAUGACGUCAAGUCCUCAUGGCCCUUACGGGUUGGGCUACACACGUGCUACAAUGGCAUCAACAAUGGGUUAAUCCCCAAAAGAUGUCUCAGUUCGGAUUGGGGUCUGCAACUCGACCCCAUGAAGUCGGAAUCGCUAGUAGUCGUGAAUCAGAAUGUCACGGUGAAUACGUCCCCGGGCCUU